AGUGAACGCUGGCGGUAGGCCUAACACAUGCAAGUCGAACGGCAGCACAGUAAGAGCUUGCUCUUACGGGUGGCGGGUGGCGGACGGGUGAGGAAUACAUCGGAAUCUACUUUUUCGUGGGGGAUAACGUAGGGAAACUUACGCUAAUACCGCAUACGACCUACGGGUGAAAGCAGGGGAUCUUCGGACCUUGCGCGAUUGAAUGAGCCGAUGUCGGAUUAGCUAGUUGGCGGGGUAAAGGCCCACCAAGGCGACGAUCCGUAGCUGGUCUGAUAGGAUGAUCAGCCACACUGGAACUGAGACACGGUCCAGACUCCUACGGGAGGCAGCAGUGGGGAAUAUUGGACAAUGGGCGCAAGCCUGAUCCAGCCAUACCGCGUGGGUGAAGAAGGCCUUCGGGUUGUAAAGCCCUUUUGUUGGGAAAGAAAAGCAGCAGGUUAAUACCCCGCUGUUCUGACGGUACCCAAAGAAUAAGCACCGGCUAACUUCGUG
rnacentral:rRNA from 1 species